UACAGAGGUCUCAAGCGUUGUUCGGAUUCAUUGGGCGUAAAGGGUGUGUAGGUGGCGCGCUAAGUCGGGUGUGAAAUUUCGGAGCUUAACUCCGAAACUGCAUUUGAUACUGGCGUGCUUGAGGACUGGAGAGGAGACUGGAAUUCAUGGUGUAGCAGUGAAAUGCGUAGAGAUCAUGAGGAAGACCAGUGGCGAAGGCGGGUCUCUGGACAGUUCCUGACACUGAGACACGAAGGCCAGGGGAGCAAAACGGGG
rnacentral:rRNA from 1 species